ensembl:lncRNA
CCCGGGGCUCUGGGUGGCACGACGCGCGGGGACCGGACUGCGCUGCGGGGCUCCGCGGAACUGGCACCUGGCCACGCAUAGGCGACGAGACAACCCUGCAGAGCGCUCAGUGGUGAAAGGACCCACUCCUCAGAGUCCCGGAAGUGGCCGCGGAUCUUCCAGUAAAUGAAGUUAUCCUCGAGGAGCUCAGGAGAGGCGAGCCUCUCAGGGCUGUGGCUGUGAACAGAUUUGUUUACGGCUUAGACGCCGACCUCUCUCAUUAGUUAUAAGUUUUCAAAUUGGCCCUUUCUUGUAUAAAUCGCCUGAAAAAAAUAUGAUUUUUAACAAGCACAGCCAUAGCCUGAUGUUAAUUAAAAAACAAAACAAAACAAAAACAAAAACACGGAAAGAUGAUGUUUAAGUCUAAAAGGAAGGGCACGGAAAAUACACUUUCAGAUAUUCACAAGUAAGUAACUACUCAGCGGGAGUCCUUCAGUUUCUUCUUUCCUUCUCUGUGUUUUCCAAGCUACUAGAAUCCUUUCUGAGCUGCAGGAAGUCUUCAAUGUUUUUCUUAUUCAUUAGAUAACUCAAUGAAAUGUUAAAAUGUUUAUUUUUGAAUAAUCAGUACCAUUUUUUUCCUGAAGGUUUUCACAAAAUGUGCCCCUUUAUACAGCCCAUCAUGGAUGCUAUUCGUGGCCAGUCUUGCUCAUCCUGUUGCUUCACAGUUCAUUUUAGGAUCAUAAAUGUAGCUGCGCCCCUGUCGAUGCUUGGCUUGACGGCGCCCCCGCCCCCACUACCUCCAGCCGCGCCGAUGCCUGGUGGCCCUGCUGGAGAGAUGGAGCUCAAACCCCAGAAAGCAGCCGUCGGAAGGCACUCAGGUGUUGGCCGCAGCUGGCUGUAGUUCCGGGAAGAGCUUGCAGGCGGUCGGCCCAGUUUGAUCCUUUCUGUAAUCGGAAAAGGAUUGCGUUGCCUGGCCCAGUCAGCUCAGUUUCCCGAGAAUUAAACAGAGAAAUCGCUUUUCUGAGACAAGGAGGUUCCAUCUUGGCCUGAGUUGUUUCCAAGUUCAUGUUGGGGAAGGAAGGGGCGGCGGGGGGAGGGGGAGGUCAGGCAUAAAGUUGGUAAUUCACCUGGAUCUCCUCGGCUUUAACACGCGGGCCUGCCUUAACCUCCCGAGUGAUGUAUCCGGGCGUUUGUCCCCGAAAACAACACUUGGAUGCGAUGGAGAAAAGGAAGAGAUCUGAAAACUUGGGGAGUGGGGGAGAAAGGAAGAGAGAAGACAUGCAAAUGAUGAGGGAUUCUAGGAUGAGUUUUUUAAACAGUCGGAGCUCUUUUAAGGCAAAAAGCAUCUGAAGGUUUGGGGUGUACGUGUGCCUUUGGGCACACAUGAGACGAGUACAGUGUCGGGGCUGAAGGCUGGCAAGGCUCAGAUACUGGGCUUUUUGAAAACCCCACUAUUAGGGGGAGGUGGGCGUUGACUCCCGCGAAGUAUUAAAAGAAGCAAUACUUGUCACUUAAGGAAGUACGUGCGCUUGGUGGAACCUGAUUCCAGAUCUAAGUUCUGAUGCUCGCUCUGUGUCCCCAGUUUCUCAAAAGCUCACUUAACAGAACCUUAAGCCCUAUUUGUCGGACCGAUGCAAAUUAUCUUUUGGUUUGCGCAUUAAGAGUUGACUUCAGUACAUUUUAGGGCUCCUAUUCUUUUCUAAACAACCUUCGCGGAUAGGAGCACCCAAUCUUUCUCAAAACUCUUCCCCUUACCUAACCCCCCUCCCUACCCCCCACCUUUGGGGUGAAGGUGGGUCGGCAACUGGUGGAGUGUAA